UGUCCGAAUGGGGGAACCCGGCAGGUAAUGCCUGUCACUCAUUACUGUUAAGGUAAUGUAGAGGAAGACGCAGUGAACUGAAACAUCUAAGUAGCUGUAGGAAGAGAAAGCAAAAGCGAUUGCCUUAGUAGCGGCGAGCGAAACGGCAAGAGGGCAAACCGAAGAGUUUACUCUUCGGGGUUGUAGGACUGCAACGUGGACUUAAAGAUUAUAGAAGAACUACCUGGGAAGGUAGGCCAAAGAGAGUAAUAGCCUCGUAUUCGAAAUAGUCUUUAUACCUAGCAGUAUCCUGAGUACGGCGAGACACGAGAAAUCUCGUCGGAAUCUGGGAGGACCAUCUCCCAACCCUAAAUACUCUCUAGUGACCGAUAGUGAACCAGUACCGUGAGGGAAAGGUGAAAAGCACCCCGGGAGGGGAGUGAAAUAGAACCUGAAACCGUGUGCCUACAACAAGUUCGAGCCCGUUAAUGGGUGAGAGCGUGCCUUUUGUAGAAUGAACCGGCGAGUUACGAUAUGAUGCGAGGUUAAGUUGAAGAGACGGAGCCGUAGGGAAACCGAGUCUUAAUAGGGCGCAUUAGUAUCAUGUCGUAGACCCGAAACCAUGUGACCUACCCAUGAGCAGGUUGAAGGUGAGGUAAAACUCACUGGAGGACCGAACCAGGGCACGUUGAAAAGUGCUUGGAUGACUUGUGGGUAGCGGAGAAAUUCCAAACGAACUUGGAGAUAGCUGGUUCUCUCCGAAAUAGCUUUAGGGCUAGCGUCGAUGUUAAGUCUCUUGGAGGUAGAGCACUGUUUGGGUGAGGGGUCCAUCCCGGAUUACCAAUCUCAGAUAAACUCCGAAUGCCAAUGAGAUAUAAUCGGCAGUCAGACUGCGAGUGCUAAGAUCCGUAGUCGAAAGGGAAACAGCCCAGACCACCAGCUAAGGUCCCAAAAUAUAUGUUAAGUGGAAAAGGAUGUGGGGUUGCACAGACAACUAGGAUGUUAGCUUAGAAGCAGCUAUUCAUUCAAAGAGUGCGUAAUAGCUCACUAGUCGAGUGACCCUGCGCCGAAAAUGUACCGGGGCUAAAACAUAUUACCGAAGCUGUGGAUACCUUUAUAGGUAUGGUAGGAGAGCGUUCUAUGUGCGAAGAAGGUGUACCGUGAGGAGUGCUGGAGCGCAUAGAAGUGAGAAUGCCGGUAUGAGUAGCGAAAGACAGGUGAGAAUCCUGUCCACCGUAAGACUAAGGUUUCCAGGGGAAGGCUCGUCCGCCCUGGGUUAGUCGGGACCUAAGGAGAGACCGAAAGGUGUAUCCGAUGGACAACAGGUUGAUAUUCCUGUACUAGAGUAUAUAGUGAUGGAGGGACGCAGUAGGCUAACUAAACCAGACGAUUGGAAGUGUCUGGCCAAGCAGUGAGGUGUGAUAUGAGUCAAAUGCUUAUAUCUUUAACAUUGAGCUGUGAUGGGGAGCGAAGUUUAGUAGCGAAGUUAGUGAUGUCACACUGCCGAGAAAAGCUUCUAGCGUUAAUUAUACUCUACCCGUACCGCAAACCGACACAGGUAGUCGAGGCGAGUAGCCUCAGGUGAGCGAGAGAACUCUCGUUAAGGAACUCGGCAAAAUGGCCCCGUAACUUCGGGAGAAGGGGCGCUGACUGAUGGUCAGCCGCAGUGAAUAGGCCCAAGCAACUGUUUAUCAAAAACACAGCUCUCUGCUAAAUCGUAAGAUGAUGUAUAGGGGGUGACGCCUGCCCGGUGCUGGAAGGUUAAGAGGAGUGCUUAGCGUAAGCGAAGGCAUGAAUUGAAGCCCCAGUAAACGGCGGCCGUAACUAUAACGGUCCUAAGGUAGCGAAAUUCCUUGUCGGGUAAGUUCCGACCCGCACGAAAGGCGUAAUGAUUUGGGCACUGUCUCAACGAGAGACUCGGUGAAAUUUUAGUACCUGUGAAGAUGCAGGUUACCCGCGACAGGACGGAAAGACCCCAUGGAGCUUUACUGCAGUUUGAUAUUGAGUAUCUGUACCACAUGUACAGGAUAGGUAGGAGCCUAUGACCUCGGGACGCCAGUUUCGAGUGAGGCGUUGUUGGGAUACUACCCUUGUGUUAUGGCUACUCUAACCCAGAUAGGUUAUCCCUAUCGGAGACAGUGUCUGACGGGCAGUUUGACUGGGGCGGUCGCCUCCUAAAAGGUAACGGAGGCGCCCAAAGGUUCCCUCAGAAUGGUUGGAAAUCAUUCGCAGAGUGUAAAGGUAUAAGGGAGCUUGACUGCGAGAGUUACAACUCGAGCAGGGACGAAAGUCGGGCUUAGUGAUCCGGUGGUUCCGUAUGGA
rnacentral:rRNA from 1 species